rnacentral:lncRNA from 1 species
UCCGCCUCUUAGUGAGCAUGCUUGAGCCCACUCGUCCAACUCCUGAAAUCUUAUCAAGAAGCAGUUGAUCACUAGUUUCAGGUGUUUCUAUCCUUUGGGAGACUGCCUUUUCCUGGUGCUGGCUGCAACCAAUUGUUAUUUUAGAGAGAUACUGUAACAAUCACCUGAGAUAUCUUGGUAAGUGAGUAGGGAGUGUUCAGCCCUCCCCUACCCUGCUCAUGUCUGACUAGCUACCUACUGUAACAGCUCUGGAUUUAACUACUGUUUUUUACAAUUAGCAGGUACCUCCAUUGGGGUCACUGACUUCCCGCAACACACACUCUAUCAGCUGAAAUAAGUGGAGACUUUGCUGAUCUUCUUACCAAGGACAGAGGGCUAUGGAGGCUGAUACAGCAGGCACCUCAUGGAAACAGCAUUCAUACAUUCUGCUUUUGCUGCCUGAAACGACUCGUCUAUGUCCUGUGCUACUUGCUGCCUUCAUCGUUCUCACUGCUGAGUGCCAGCAGAGCACGCCCUAUGGAGAUUACUUGGACACAUCUGGCACCCUCUGGCACGCAGCUGGCUUGAGACUGGAUCUCACUACUUGCCUAGCUCUUGAACUCCUGGCCUCAAGCAAUCCUCCUGCCUCAACCUCCCAAAGUGCUGGGAUUACAGGAGUGAGCCACUAUGCCCCACAUGAAUUUGCUUAGAAACCAUUUCUCCGGAUGUGCUCCCUCUUUCCUUGUCAUGCAGUGGUAUUCCAUUUCCUCCAUUUUUUACCAGUAUUCUCCCAUUUGAGAAAACAAUGAACAAAUCAGUGAGAAGAAGCAAGCAGCUUAUAUUCUUUGAUAUUCUCUGCUAUUCUGGUUUUUGGGGAAAAUAUUUCAUAAUCAGUCCUCCAAAAUUGAAGUGAUGUGAAAGAAUUGGCAGAUAUUUAAAUAAAGGACCCAUAAGUAUAAAAUAAAUGGAAACUGUAGUAAUGAGGCUAUGAAAUAUAUAAGAUGGUUUAUUCAUAGGUAAUACAGACCUUCCAGAGAAAAGUUUAUACGCCUCACAGAAAGGACAGGGACUUUGAAAUUAACAAUGAACUUCUUUAGAAAUUCUGACUUUAAUAGUUAACAUUUGUAAGACUUGAAACAAGAUAUCUUGUUUAAUAAACUCCACAAACCUCAAUUUUUUUACAAGAUGGGGAAAAUAAUGGCUACCUUAGAUGAGUAUUGUGGGGAUUAAAGUAAAUAGAUAUAAAAUAUCUAAAAGAAUGCCUGGGGCAUUGUUAGUGUUGUAAUAACUUAGUUUCAUAAAGCUCCAGUAAAUAGUCAUGUACAUAUUAUUUUUUAGAAGUAUGAAGUUCAGAAAUAUUUGUGAUCCCUUUUCUUAUUUGCAGUCUUCUCAGUACUAAAUGGAAUGACUAAGGGUAUCUUUAAUUAUUAAACAACUCCUAACCUGAAAACAAAUGGAUUACAUUGGUGGCCGACUCACAGAGAAAGUUUAUGCAGAUAGAAUCUACAUGGCCAAUUCAAAAAAAGGACACAUUUUUAGAAACGAUAUCCAGGAUGUCACAAUACCUUGUCUACACUCAUCAAUUUUAUUGUCACCUUGCCACUAUUGAGCUUAGUGUUGACACUUCCCAGAGCCCAGAAGUUGCCCCUAAAAAUUAUGAAUUCCACACUGGGAAAGCAAGGUAAAGUAAUUCUUUUGUUGGGUUAUUGAUGCUUUGGAAGGGACAUAGAGAUAUGGAUGCAUACAUAGCUCAAAAUAAAAGAGAAUUUAUUCUGGAACAUGGCCAAGAUAAGAAUGUCACCUAAGUUCACCAGGCCAUCAUUUGAGAGUAGCUUCAGCAGAUUAAUACAUCAAAAAAGCCAAUAAAACAAAACAUUGAAAUGUAAUUAUUUAUUAAAUACUUGAAGGAAUUACAGUAGUUGAGUUGAAUCAUAUUUUUUUAAAAAGAUGAAGAAGAAAAACACAGCCUUUAAAAUUUCUCUUUCGAUCCCCUUUUUCUCUUUUCCUGAAAUUCUAAACCUCAAGGAAGUUGACUUAUAAGAUGUUCCUUUUUUAAAAUCAACCCACUCUCAAAAUUCC